AUUGAACGCUGGCGGCAUGCCUUACACAUGCAAGUCGAACGGCAGCACGGGAGCAAUCCUGGUGGCGAGUGGCGAACGGGUGAGUAAUAUAUCGGAACGUGCCCGGUCGUGGGGGAUAACGUAGCGAAAGCUACGCUAAUACCGCAUACGAUCUACGGAUGAAAGCGGGGGAUCGCAAGACCUCGCGCGAUUGGAGCGGCCGAUAUCAGAUUAGGUAGUUGGUGAGGUAAAGGCUCACCAAGCCGACGAUCUGUAGCUGGUCUGAGAGGACGACCAGCCACACUGGGACUGAGACACGGCCCAGACUCCUACGGGAGGCAGCAGUGGGGAAUUUUGGACAAUGGGCGCAAGCCUGAUCCAGCAAUGCCGCGUGCAGGAUGAAGGCCUCGGUUGUAACGUA
rnacentral:rRNA from 1 species